rnacentral:rRNA from 1 species
UACGUAGGGUGCGAGCGUUAAUCGGAAUUACUGGGCGUAAAGCGUGCGCAGGCGGUUCGUCGUGUCCGAUGUGAAAGCCCCGGGCUCAACCUGGGAAUUGCAUUCGAGACUGUGUAGCUAGGGUACGGAAGAGGGAAGCGGAAUUUCAGGUGUAGCGGUGAAAUGCGUAGAUAUCUGAAGGAACACCAGUGGCGAAAGCGGCCUCCUGGUCCAGUACCGACGUCAGGCACGAAAGCGUGGGGAGCAAACAGG